rnacentral:rRNA from 1 species
GAUGAACGCUGGCGGCGUGCCUAAUACAUGCAAGUCGAGCGAACAGACGAGGAGCUUGCUCCUCUGACGUUAGCGGCGGACGGGUGAGUAACACGUGGAUAACCUACCUAUAAGACUGGGAUAACUUCGGGAAACCGGAGCUAAUACCGGAUAAUAUAUUGAACCGCAUGGUUCAAUAGUGAAAGACGGUUUUGCUGUCACUUAUAGAUGGAUCCGCGCCGCAUUAGCUAGUUGGUAACGUAACGGCUUACCAAGGCAACGAUGCGUAGCCGACCUGAGAGGGUGAUCGGCCACACUGGAAGUGAGACACGGUCCAGACUCCGACGGGGGGCAGCAGUAGGGAAUCUUCCGCGAUGGACGAGUGCCUGACGGAGCAACGCCGCGUGAGUGAUGAAGGUCUUCGGAUCGUAAAGCUCUGUUAUUAGUGAAGAACAAAUGUGUAAGUAACUAUGCACGUCUUGACGGUACCUAAUCAGAAAGCCACGGCUAACUACGUG